rnacentral:tRNA from 1 species
GCAGUGGUGGUUCAGUGGUAUAAUUCUCCCUUUUCAUGUGGGAGAUCCUGGUUUGAUUCCUGGCCAGGGCA